rnacentral:siRNA from 1 species
AAGAGACUAAUCUUGUUCUCA